CACACACACCUCGCUCUCAUCCCGCAGCCAAUAAGGGCCUGAUGAGCUCAAGUAUCACUAUAACACAAGGACUUAUUCUCUGAGCAGAGGCUGCAGAUUCUUACAGAUCUUCAUCUUCAUCGCCGGAGGAGCUUCUCUUCCCCUCUGAGGUGUGAAGUCUGCUGUCACCAUGUCUGACACUGAGGAAGUGUACGAGGGUAAGUGACGACCGUUCAGACGUGUUUGUUUCAGUUAUUGUAAGUUCUACACAACAAACACACAACGCAUGGACGGCUUAUGAGAAAAUGGCCCCCGGGCACAAACACGUAAAAAGGCCUGAAGACUGAAACUUUGUGUUUUGUGUUGGUCACUCUUUGUAGUAGUUCUGCGUCUCUUUGUUUUGUCUCUUUAUGGUUAUUUUAUGUGUCUUUCUAGUUGUUUUGUAUUGCUUUUUGGUCAUUUUGAGUCUCUUUGUUGUUCUCUGUCUAUUUAUGGUCAUUUCAUAUUUAUUAACGGUCAUUUUCGUCUCUUUGUAGUCAUUCUGAUUUUCUUUUUGCUUGUUUUAUGUUUUUUUUGAAGUCAUUUUACAUGGCUGUUUUCAGUUUGUUUGUGGUCAUUUUUCAUCUUCUUCUGUGUCGUUUAUUUCAUUUUUUUUGUUUCUUUGUAGUUGUUUUGUGUCUUUUAACUAUUUCAACAAGAAAUAUUAACAAUGACCUAAUACAGAGGCUCUGGCCCACGGCCCUUAUGGCCAUGGACCCCUACUGUGCUCAGUCGGCCUGUUCAGUAACCAAACCAUGCAUAUAAUCUCUGUUUCAUUUUCACUGCAAAUUAUGACAUACAAUGCUUAAAAUAAAAUCUAUUAAAUAAAUCUAA